CAGCAACGCCAGAUCUGUGCUACAUCUGCAACCUUCACCACAGUUUGCAGCCACACCAGAUCCUUAACUCAUUGAGUGAGACUAGGGCUCGAACCCUCAUCCUCAUGGACACUAUGUUGGAUUCUUAACCCACAGAGCCACAACGGAAGCUCUCAAUUUUCUUUCUAUAAAUACAACUUUCGGUCAUCACUAAAUUGGUUGUUUUAUUGUUCAUUCACCUUAUGUAUUUUCCUCCUUAAAACCCGAGGAUGGGGAGAUCCCAUCAUGGUUCAGCGGUUAAUGAUGAACCAUGAUGGGAUCAGCAUCCAUGAGGACGCCGGUUCGAUCCCUGGCCUUGCUCAGUGGGUUAAGGAUUCGGCACUGCCAUGAGCUGUGGUGUGGGUCACAGACGCGGCUGGGAUCCCAUGUUGCUGUGGCUGUGGCGUAGGCCACCAGCUACAGUUCCGAUUCGACCCCUAGCCUGGGAACCUCCGUAUGCCACAGGUGUGGGCCUAAAGAGACAAGAAAAAAAUCUAAAAAAAUUUUAUCAUAUGCAGCAUGGCUCUAACCUCCUGCUGUUCACCAGUUUUCAGCCCAGCAUUCCUGACCCCUCCCAGCUGGGUCUUUCCUUUGUCCUCUUCCAUUUGAAAUCUCUGCAUCUUCUUUUGCUGAUUCUUCCCUGCUCAUCCCCUUCUUCCAAGGCUAAAAGCCUCUUCUGAAGGCUCUUAAUGUGGAAGAAAUUCUCAGGAGGUGCUGUCGCAGGUGAAGUGACAACUCAGGAGUCCAAUUGUCUUAGUCUUCCGGGGAUGCCAUAAUAAAAUACCGUAGGUGACGUGGCUUAAACAACACAAACUGACUUUCUUACACUUCUGGAGGCUUGAAGCCUAUUCAGAUUCUUGGUAAGGGCCCUCUUCCUGGCUUGCAGACAGCUGCCUUCCUGCUUUGCUGCUCAAAUGGGUGAGAGAGAGAGAGGAGAGAGAGAAAGAGGGGAGAGGGGAUGAGAAAGAGAGAGAGGACCUCUCCCAUAUCUCUUAGAAGGGCACUAAUCAGAGUUCCCAUCGUGGCUCAGUGGAAACCAAUCCGACUGGGAACCAUGGGGUUGCAGGUUCAAUCCCCGGCCUCACUCAGUGGGUUAAGGUUCCAGCGUUGCCGUGAGUUGUGGUGUAGGUUGCAGACAUGGCUCGGAUCUGGUGUUGCUGUGGCUGUGGCAUAAGGCUGGCAGCUACAGCUCUGAUUAGACCCAAAGCCUGGAAACCUCUGCAUGCCUCGGGUUGCAGACGCGGCUCAGAUCCCACAUUGCUGUGGCUGUGGUGUAGGCUGGCGGCUACAGCUCAGAUUCGACCCUUAGCCUGGGAACCUCCACGUGCCGCAGGAGCAGCCCUAGAAAUGGCAAAAAGACGACAAAAAAAAAAAAAAAAAAAAAAGUAGAAAAGGAAAGAGAAAGAUUGAAAUGGGAGGGGAAAAUUGGGGUACAGAACAGGUUAAGAUAAGACUCUGGGAAGAUUUACCCACUGCCCUAAAGCAGUACUAUCCAGGACUUCCCAUUGUGGCUCAGCAGGUAACGAAUCCAACUGGAAUCCAUGAGGAUGUGGAUUUGAUCCCUGGCCUCAUUCAGUGGGUUAAGGAUCCGGCAUUGCCAUGAGCUGUGGUGU
rnacentral:lncRNA from 1 species